GACGAACGCUGGCGGCGUGCUUAACACAUGCAAGUCGAACGGAAAGGCCCUGCUUUUGUGGGGUGCUCGAGUGGCGAACGGGUGAGUAACACGUGAGUAACCUGCCCUUGACUUUGGGAUAACUUCAGGAAACUGGGGCUAAUACCGGAUAGGAGCUCCUGCUGCAUGGUGGGGGUUGGAAAGUUUCGGCGGUUGGGGAUGGACUCGCGGCUUAUCAGCUUGUUGGUGGGGUAGUGGCUUACCAAGGCUUUGACGGGUAGCCGGCCUGAGAGGGUGACCGGCCACAUUGGGACUGAGAUACGGCCCAGACUCCUACGGGAGGCAGCAGUGGGGAAUAUUGCACAAUGGGCGGAAGCCUGAUGCAGCAACGCCGCGUGCGGGAUGACGGCCUUCGGGUUGUAAACCGCUUUCGCCUGUGACGAAGCGUGAGUGACGGUAAUGGGUAAAGAAGCACCGGCUAACUACGUGCCAGCAGCCGCGGUGAUACGUAGGGUGCGAGCGUUGUCCGGAUUUAUUGGGCGUAAAGGGCUCGUAGGUGGUUGAUCGCGUCGGAAGUGUAAUCUUGGGGCUUAACCCUGAGCGUGCUUUCGAUACGGGUUGACUUGAGGAAGGUAGGGGAGAAUGGAAUUCCUGGUGGAGCGGUGGAAUGCGCAGAUAUCAGGAGGAACACCAGUGGCGAAGGCGGUUCUCUGGGCCUUUCCUGACGCUGAGGAGCGAAAGCGUGGGGAGCGAACAGGCUUAGAUACCCUGGUAGUCCACGCUGUAAACGGUGGGUGCUAGGUGUGGGGUCCAUUCCACGGGUUCCGUGCCGUAGCUAACGCUUUAAGUACCCCGCCUGGGGAGUACGGCCGCAAGGCUAAAACUCAAAGGAAUUGACGGGGCCCCGCACAAGCGGCGGAGCAUGCGGAUUAAUUCGAUGCAACGCGUAGAACCUUACCUGGGUUUGACAUGGAUCGGGAGUGCUCAGAGAUGGGUGUGCCUCUUUUGGGGUCGGUUCACAGGUGGUGCAUGCCUGUCGUCAGCUCGUGUCGUGAGAUGUUGGGUUAAGUCCCGCAACGAGCGCAACCCUUGUUCACUGUUGCCAGCACGUUAUGGUGGGGACUCAGUGGAGACCGCCGGGGUCAACUCGGAGGAGGGUGGGGAUGACGUCAAGUCAUCAUGCCCCUUAUGUCCAGGGCUUCACGCAUGCUACAAUGGCUGGUACAGAGAGUGGCGAGCCUGUGAGGGUGAGCGAAUCUCGGAAAGCCGGUCUCAGUUCGGAUUGGGGUCUGCAACUCGACCUCAUGAAGUCGGAGUCGCUAGUAAUCGCAGAUCAGCAACGCUGCGGUGAAUACGUUCCCGGG
rnacentral:rRNA from 1 species